UGAUUAAGCCAUGCAAGUCGAAUGUAGCAAUACAUGGCGAACUGCUCAGUAACACGUGGACAACCUGCCCUUAGGACGGGGAUAAACCCGGGAAACUGGGUAUAAUACCCGAUAGGUCUCGAUUGCUGGAAUGCAUCGAGAUUUAAAGCUCCGGCGCCUAAGGAUGGGUCUGCGGCCUAUCAGGUAGUAGUGGGUGUAGCGUACCUACUAGCCUACGACGGGUACGGGUUGUGAGAGCAAGAGCCCGGAGAUGGAUUCUGAGACACGGAUCCAGGCCCUACGGGGUGCAGCAGGCGCGAAAACUUUACAAUGCUGGCAACAGCGAUAAGGGAACCUCGAGUGCCAGGUUACAAAUCUGGCUGUCGAGAUGCCUAAAAAGCAUUUCAUAGCAAGGGCCGGGCAAGACCGGUGCCAGCCGCCGCGGUAACACCGGCGGCUCGAGUGGUAACCGUUAUUAUUGGGUCUAAAGGGUCUGUAGCCGGCCGGAUAAGUCUCUUGAGAAAUCUGGCAGCUUAACUGUCAGGCUUUCAGGAGAUACUGUCUGGCUCGAGGCCGGGAGAGGUGAGAGGUACUUCAGGGGUAGGGGUGAAAUCUUGUAAUCCUUGAAGGACCACCAGUGGCGAAGGCGUCUCACCAGAACGGACCUGACGGCAAGGGACGAAAGCUAGGGGCACGAACCGGAUUAGAUACCCGGGUAGUCCUAGCCGUAAACGAUACUCGCUAGGUGUCGGCCACGGUGCGACCGUUGUCGGUGCCGUAGGGAAGCCGUGAAGCGAGCCACCUGGGAAGUACGGCCGCAAGGCUGAAACUUAAAGGAAUUGGCGGGGGAGCA
rnacentral:rRNA from 1 species